GCUUAACACAUGCAAGUCGAACGCGAAAGUCCCCUUCGGGGGACAAGUAGAGUGGCGCACGGGUGAGUAACACGUAGGUAAUCUACCUUCGGAUGGGGAAUAACAACCGGAAACGGUUGCUAAUACCGCAUAAUGCAGCGGCACCUAAUGGUGACAGUUGUUAAAGCGGGGGAUCGAAAGACCUCGCGUCUGAAGAGGAGCCUGCGGCGGAUUAGCUAGUUGGUAAGGUAAUGGCUUACCAAGGCGACGAUCCGUAACCGGCCUGAGAGGGCGGUCGGUCACACUGACACUGACAUACGGGUCAGACUCCUACGGGAGGCAGCAGUCGGGAAUUUUGGGCAAUGGGCGAAAGCCUGACCCAGCAACGCCGCGUGAAGGAUGAAAUCCCUCGGGAUGUAAACUUCGCAAGAACGGGAAGAAUAAGCGAAAGUUAAUAUCUUUCGUGAUGACGGUACCGUUUGUAAGCUCCGGCUAACUCCGUGCCAGCCGCCGCGGUAAUAC
rnacentral:rRNA from 1 species